CCUACGGGAGGCAGCAGUGGGGGAUAUUGCACAAUGGGGGAAACCCUGAUGCAGCGACGCCGCGUGGGUGAAGAAGCGCCUCGGCGCGUAAAGCCCUGUCAGCAGGGAAGAAAAUGACGGUAACUGAAGAAGAAGCCACGGCUAACUACGUGCCAGCAGCCGCGGUAAUACGUAGGGGGCAAGCGUUAUCCGGAAUUACUGGGUGUAAAGGGGGCGCAGACGGCGAUGCAAGCCAGGAGUGAAAGCCCGGGGCCCAACCCCGGAACUGCUCGUGGAACUGCGUGGCUAGAGUGCAGGAGGGGCGGGCGGAAUUCCAGGUGUAGCGGUGAAAUGCGUAGAUAUCAGGAGGAACACCGGUGGCGAAGGCGGCCUGCUGGACUGCAACUGACGUUGAGGCCCGAAAGCGUGGGGAGCAAACAGGAUUAGAUACCCCUGUAGUC
rnacentral:rRNA from 1 species